AACGCGAAGAACCUUACCUGGGCUCGAACGGCUUAAGAACAUCUUUGGAAACAGAGACUUCCCGCAAGGGACUUGAGUCGAGGUGCUGCAUGGCUGUCGUCAGCUCGUGUCGUGAGAUGUUGGGUUAAGUCCCGCAACGAGCGCAACCCUUGUCCUGUGUUGCCACUCCGUAAGGAAGCACUCGCAGGAGACCGCCAGCGAUAAGCUGGAGGAAGGUGGGGAUGAUGUCAAGUCAUCAUGGCCUUUAUGUCCAGGGCUACACACGUGCUACAAUGGGCGGUACAAAGCGCUGCAAACCCGCGAGGGGGAGCUAAUCGCAAAAAACCGUUCUCAGUUCGGAUCGCAGGCUGCAACUCGCCUGCGUGAAGCUGGAAUCGCUAGUAAUGCCGUAUCAGAAUGAUGGCGUGAAUACGUUCCCGGGCCUUGUA
rnacentral:rRNA from 1 species